UCUGACUCCAGUGCCCAGGAAACCAGAAGACAUUUGGUCACAUAUGGAGUCUGUGCUCAUUCUGAUUAAAUCUCAAUUUCUCUUUCUGAAUGAAAAAAAAAAUGAACCCAGGAGCAAUGAAAUCACACAUGCAUAAGGCCCCAGCUCUGCAAAAUAAAAUGACAAAAGCAAAUCAGUUUUGUACAUCUAAAAAUAGCUACCAACUUCCAUAUACUACUACAACCCCAUCUUGACCUUCCUGGGCAGAUGAUCUCAACUGCAUGUCUCAGAACCUCACCUCUCCAGAUCCCUCCUCUACUAGGGGAAGAUAAAGACAGGCUGGGGGUUUGAAUCAAUUGGCCAAUGUCCACAUCCAGUGGAGAAGAAAUUAUAGAAGUCAGAACACCUUCCUUCUGCACCCCAAGAAUUUUGCUCCACACUCCCAGAGGGGAAAUACUAGGGGAAGAUUAACAAAAGGGUCUGAACCCCAGUUCCACUGGGACCCAGGACUUUUGUGACCAGAAACAUUGAUUUUUGCCCCAUUACUGAUAGGAAAGAGAAUUCUAAAGAAGUAAGGUCCUGUUUCCUUUAUCUGAGAUGGAAGAGGAAAAGGGAAGCACACCAUUAUAGGAGGUGUAAGUUUAGUUUACAAAGGAAGUGAAGGUGGGGCCUUAGAAGUAAAUAAAAAUGGGCAUAAGCUUCCACAUGGGGUCAUCCGUCUUUUCCCAAAUGGUCCAUGUGCUUCUUUGGUGCAUUCCUUUUCACUUUCCUAAUUAAAAGUUUAAAAUAUCUAAUUUAAAAAUUCUAUGAACAAUCCUUAAAGGAGGGGAUAAGGCCUUUAAUGAUGGGAUAAAAAUCACUUAUUUGAGUCUUAAAGAUAAAAAAAAAAUGUCAUGGGACAUAUACUCAAUGGAAUAAUAGCAGCUAAAAAAGACUAUAUUGUGUCUUUGGGAGUAAAAUGAAUGGAAUUGGCAGUGAUUUUGCUUAGUGAAGUAAGGAAGUAGAAAAAAAAAACUACUUGAUUUCAUUCAUAUGUGGAAUAUAGAGAAUUGAAACACAUGAACUUGAGAAAAAAAUAUAUAGUCAACCCAUAUUUAUGACCUUGGGAGAACUAUGGUGGUUACUGCUGAAUUGGGGGGGGGGGGACAGAACUCUAGUGGUGGGAGUAGUAUAGAAUUAUACCCCUAUUAUCAUAUAAUCUUAUAAAUCACUAUCAAACCACUAAUAAAGAUAUAAUACAGAAAAUAAA